CCGGAGGAAGAGAAAGAAAAUUCGAUUCCCUUAGUAGCGGCGAGCGAAACGGGAAGAGCCCAAACCAACAAGCUUGCUUGUUGGGGUUGUAGGACACUCUAUACGGAGUUACAAAGGACGACAUUAGACGAAUCAUCUGGAAAGAUGAAUCAAAGAAGGUAAUAAUCCUGUAGUCGAAAAUGUUGUCUCUCUUGAGUGGAUCCUGAGUACGACGGAGCACGUGAAAUUCCGUCGGAAUCUGGGAGGACCAUCUCCUAAGGCUAAAUACUCUCUAGUGACCGAUAGUGAACCAGUACCGUGAGGGAAAGGUGAAAAGCACCCCGGAAGGGGAGUGAAAUAGAACCUGAAACCGUGUGCUUACAAGUAGUCAGAGCCCGUUAAUGGGUGAUGGCGUGCCUUUUGUAGAAUGAACCGGCGAGUUACGAUUUGAUGCAAGGUUAAGCAGUAAAUGUGGAGCCGUAGCGAAAGCGAGUCUGAAUAGGGCGUUUAGUAUUUGGUCGUAGACCCGAAACCAGGUGAUCUACCCUUGGUCAGGUUGAAGUUCAGGUAACACUGAAUGGAGGACCGAACCGACUUACGUUGAAAAGUGAGCGGAUGAACUGAGGGUAGCGGAGAAAUUCCAAUCGAACCUGGAGAUAGCUGGUUCUCUCCGAAAUAGCUUUAGGGCUAGCCUCAAGUGAUGAUUAUUGGAGGUAGAGCACUGUUUGGACGAGGGGCCCCUCUCGGGUUACCGAAUUCAGACAAACUCCGAAUGCCAAUUAAUUUAACUUGGGAGUCAGAACAUGGGUGAUAAGGUCCGUGUUCGAAAGGGAAACAGCCCAGACCACCAGCUAAGGUCCCAAAAUAUAUGUUAAGUGGAAAAGGAUGUGGCGUUGCCCAGACAACUAGGAUGUUGGCUUAGAAGCAGCCAUCAUUUAAAGAGUGCGUAAUAGCUCACUAGUCGAGUGACACUGCGCCGAAAAUGUACCGGGGCUAAACAUAUUACCGAAGCUGUGGAUUGUCCUUUGGACAAUGGUAGGAGAGCGUUCUAAGGGCGUUGAAGCAUGAUCGUAAGGACAUGUGGAGCGCUUAGAAGUGAGAAUGCCGGUGUGAGUAGCGAAAGACGGGUGAGAAUCCCGUCCACCGAUUGACUAAGGUUUCCAGAGGAAGGCUCGUCCGCUCUGGGUUAGUCGGGUCCUAAGCUGAGGCCGACAGGCGUAGGCGAUGGAUAACAGGUUGAUAUUCCUGUACCACCUAUAAUCGUUUUAAUCGAUGGGGGGACGCAGUAGGAUAGGCGAAGCGUGCGAUUGGAUUGCACGUCUAAGCAGUAAGGCUGAGUAUUAGGCAAAUCCGGUACUCGUUAAGGCUGAGCUGUGAUGGGGAGAAGACAUUGUGUCUUCGAGUCGUUGAUUUCACACUGCCGAGAAAAGCCUCUAGAUAGAAAAUAGGUGCCCGUACCGCAAACCGACACAGGUAGUCAAGAUGAGAAUUCUAAGGUGAGCGAGCGAACUCUCGUUAAGGAACUCGGCAAAAUGACCCCGUAACUUCGGGAGAAGGGGUGCUCUUUAGGGUUAACGCCCAGAAGAGCCGCAGUGAAUAGGCCCAAGCGACUGUUUAUCAAAAACACAGGUCUCUGCUAAACCGUAAGGUGAUGUAUAGGGGCUGACGCCUGCCCGGUGCUGGAAGGUUAAGAGGAGUGGUUAGCUUCUGCGAAGCUACGAAUCGAAGCCCCAGUAAACGGCGGCCGUAACUAUAACGGUCCUAAGGUAGCGAAAUUCCUUGUCGGGUAAGUUCCGACCCGCACGAAAGGCGUAACGAUUUGGGCACUGUCUCAACGAGAGACUCGGUGAAAUCAUAGUACCUGUGAAGAUGCAGGUUACCCGCGACAGGACGGAAAGACCCCGUGGAGCUUUACUGUAGCCUGAUAUUGAAAUUCGGCACAGCUUGUACAGGAUAGGUAGGAGCCUUUGAAACGUGAGCGCUAGCUUACGUGGAGGCGCUGGUGGGAUACUACCCUAGCUGUGUUGG
rnacentral:rRNA from 1 species